GCACUGUUGAGGAGUCCUACAAUAGGACGGAACGAUCGUCCAGUGC
rnacentral:hammerhead_ribozyme from 1 species